CAAGUCUGAACCCAAUUGAUGUUCCAAGGGAAUGACUAUGGAACCUGCCAAGGAGAAUGGUCUAUCUGGGACCUCCAUACCUUCAAUAUUUAAAGGCUUAACAACAGUAGAAAUUCAACACUGCUUCUGGAGAGGAUAUGUUUGAGGGGAUUCGACCAGAAAUCACGAGCACUCCGUCCUCUAAUGGCCAGACUGCAUUUCCCAGCCAGCAAGUUGAGCAGGGGAAAAGGUAAGGGGGCAGCCGAAGAUGAGUAAAUAGUAGAACAUUCAUAAGGGUCCAAACAAGUCGACAUUAACGAAAUAACAAGAGAGAGUGGAAUUGUAUUUUACAUUACUGACUUGGUUUGUAGGGAAAUAUGAAAAUCCUUGUAUUACUCAUAACCACA